UACGGGGGGGGCAAGCGUUGUUCGGAAUUACUGGGCGUAAAGGGCUCGUAGGCGGCCAACUAAGUCAGACGUGAAAUCCCUCGGCUUAACCGGGGAACUGCAUCUGAUACUGGAUGGCUUGAGUUCGGGAGAGGGAUGCGGAAUUCCAGGUGUAGCGGUGAAAUGCGUAGAUAUCUGGAGGAACACCGGUGGCGAAGGCGGCGACUCGGUGAGCGCACUGACGCUGAG
rnacentral:rRNA from 1 species